AACGAACGCUGGCGGCGUGCCUAACACAUGCAAGUCGAACGAGAAAGUGGGAGCAAUCCCAUGAGUACAGUGGCGAACGGGUGAGUAACACGUGACUAACCUACCUUCCAGUGGGGGAUAACCUCGGGAAACCGGGGCUAAGACCGCAUAACCUCGUGAGGUGAGAAUCCUUGCGAGCAAAGGGGUAAGACGCUGGAUGAGGGGGUCGCGGCCGAUUAGCUAGUGGGCGGGGUAACGGCCCACCAAGGCGAUGAUCGGUAGCCGGCCUGAGAGGGCGCACGGCCACACUGGAACUGAAACACGGUCCAGACUCCUACGGGAGGCAGCAGUGGGGAAUUUUGCACAAUGGGGGAAACCCUGAUGCAGCAACGCCGCGUGGAGGAUGAAGUCCCUUGGGACGUAAACUCCUUUCGACCGGGACGAUAAUGACGGUACCGGUGGAAGAAGCCCCGGCUAACUCCGUGCCAGCCGCCGCAGUAACAC
rnacentral:rRNA from 1 species